AGUCGAGGGUAACGGGAAAGCUUGCUUCCGCCGACGACCGGCGCACGGGUGCGUAACGCGUAUACAAUCUACCUUGUACUGGGGUAUAGCCUUUGGAAAUGAAGAUUAACCCCCCAUAGUCUCUUAGAGUGGCAUCACUUCUAGAGUAAAGGUUACGGUAUAAGAUGAGUAUGCGUUCUAUUAGUUUGUUGGUGUGGUAACGGCACACCAAGACUACGAUAGAUAGGGGCCCUGAGAGGGGGAUCCCCCACACUGGUACUGAGACACGGACCAGACUCCUACGGGAGGCAGCAGUGAGGAAUAUUGGACAAUGGAGGCAACUCUGAUCCAGCCAUGCCGCGUGCAGGAAGACUGCCCUAUGGGUUGUAAACUGCUUUUAUACAGGAAGAAACACCUCUACGUGUAGAGGCUUGACGGUACUGUAAGAAUAAGGAUCGGCUAACUCCGUGCCAGCAGCCGCGGUAAUACGGAGGAUCCAAGCGUUAUCCGGAAUCAUUGGGUUUAAAGGGUCCGUAGGUGGAUAAUUAAGUCAGAGGUGAAAUCUUGCAGCUCAACUGUAAAAUUGCCUUUGAAACUGGUUAUCUUGAGUUAUUAUGAAGUAGUUAGAAUAUGUAGUGUAGCGGUGAAAUGCAUAGAUAUUACAUAGAAUACCAAUUGCGAAGGCAGAUUACUAAUAAUCAACUGACACUGAUGGACGAAAGCGUGGGUAGCGAACAGGAUUAGAUACCCUGGUAGUCCACGCCGUAAACGAUGGUUACUAGCUGUUUGGACUUCGGUCCUGAGUGGCUAAGCGAAAGUGAUAAGUAACCCACCUGGGA
rnacentral:rRNA from 1 species